rnacentral:rRNA from 1 species
AAAUUGACUUGACUCGCAGGCAUCUGCGAGGUUCGAAAGCUCCGGCGGUGCAGGAUGAGCCCGCGGCCUAUCAGCUUGUUGGUGAGGUAAUGGCUCACCAAGGCGACGACGGGUAGCCGGCCUGAGAGGGCGACCGGCCACACUGGGACUGAGACACGGCCCAGACUCCUACGGGAGGCAGCAGUGGGGAAUAUUGCACAAUGGGCGAAAGCCUGAUGCAGCGACGCCGCGUGAGGGAUGACGGCCUUCGGGUUGUAAACCUCUUUCAGCAGGGAAGAAGCGAAAGUGACGGUACCUGCAGAAGAAGCGCCGGCUAACUACGUGCCAGCAGCCGCGGUAAUACGUAGGGCGCAAGCGUUGUCCGGAAUUAUUGGGCGUAAAGAGCUCGUAGGCGGCUUGUCACGUCGGUUGUGAAAGCCCGGGGCUUAACCCCGGGUCUGCAGUCGAUACGGGCAGGCUAGAGUUCGGUAGGGGAGAUCGGUUUUCCCUGGUGA